AUUGAACGCUGGCGGCAGGCUUACCACAUGCAAGUCGAACGAGUGGCGGACGGGUGAGUAAUGCUUGGGAAUCUGGCUUAUGGAGGGGGAUAACGACGGGAAACUGUCGCUAAUACCGCGUACCAUAGGAUGAGCCCAUGUGGGAUUAGGGAGUUGGUGGGGUAAUGGCCUACCAAGCCGACGAUCUCUAGCUGGUCUGCGCGGAUGACCAGCCACACCGGGACUGAAGUACGGCCCGGACUACUACGAGAGGCAGCAGUGGGGAAGAGUGCGCAAUGGGGGCAACCUGACGGAGCCAUGCCGCGUGAAUGAAGAAGGCCUUCGGGUUUUAAAGUUCUUUCGGUGACGAGGAGUUAAUCACAGAGGAAGCACCGUCUAACUCCGUGCCAGCAGCCGCGGUAAUAC
rnacentral:rRNA from 1 species